rnacentral:rRNA from 1 species
CCUACGGGGGUAGCAGUGAGGAAGAGUGGGCAAGGGACGCAAGUCGGAACCAGCCAGGCCGCGUGGAGGAGGACGGGUCUAGGAGUUGUAAACUGCUUUUGUACGAGGGUAAACCCCGAUACGUGUAUCGGGUUGAAAGUAUCGUACGAAUAAGGAUCGGCUAACUCCGGGCCAGCAGCCGCGGUAAUACGGAGGAUCCGAGCGUUAUCCGGAUUUAUUGGGUUUAAAGGGUGCGUAGGCGGUUUGAUAAGUUAGAGGUGAAAUGUCGGGGCUCAACCCCGAAACUGCCGCUAAUACUGUUGGACUAGAGAAUAGUUGCGGUAGGCGGAAUGUAUGGUGUAGCGGUGAAAUGCUUAGAGAUCAUACAGAACACCGAUUGCGAAGGCAGCUUACCAAACUAUAUCUGACGUUGAGGCACGAAAGCGUGGGUAGCAAACAGGAUUAGAUACCCUGGUAGUC